UACGUAGGGGGCAAGCGUUGUCCGGAAUCAUUGGGCGUAAAGCGCGUGUAGGCGGUCCGAUAAGUCGGUUGUGAAAGUCCAGGGCUCAACCCUGGGAUGCCGACCGAUACUGUCGGACUAGAGUUCGGAAGAGGCGAGUGGAAUUCCCGGUGUAGCGGUGAAAUGCGCAGAUAUCGGGAGGAACACCAAUGGCGAAGGCAGCUCGCUGGGACGUUACUGACGCUGAGACGCGAAAGCUAGGGGAGCGAACAGG
rnacentral:rRNA from 1 species